AACUUAAAUAGUUUAAUUAAAAUAUUGAUUUGUGAUUUCAAAGUUAUAUAUUUAUUUUAAGUU
rnacentral:tRNA from 1 species